GGAGCACUAACCAUUCAGACUAUUUGCUGAAUUUUUUGACGUGGGUGGGGUGUCAGCUUCACACAGCUAACAGAAUCAACAGGAAUAGCGGAGGAGAG